GUUAUCAUAUUUAAUACCUCUAUCAUGAAGAUGCUGACUGCGUUUCUGCAUGUGUGUCUCAUCAUUGCUGUGACACAAAGUCAUCCUCUUUUUGAGGAAAUUGGGUCAGGUGACUCAAGUAAUGCAGGUGUUGGUUCGCCAGGAGCAACGGGAGACCCACCAUUUGCAACAGAUGUUCCAGAUGAAACAACAACUGUGAUAGCUGACUCAACUACUCAAGAGAGAAUCUAUUAUGACUCAGAGGAAGAUCUAGGAUUUCUGAGAGACAAACCAACUGUGAUAGCUGACUCAACUAAUGAUGAUGGAUACUUUUAUGACUCAGAUGAAGAACUAGGACAUCCGAGAGUUUGGAGAGGCAGGUCUGAUGAUUCAUCUAAUGGAGAUGGAGAAAAUUCUGACACAUCGGAAGAUGCACCAGAUGCAGCAGAGGAAACAGGCGGGUCUGAUGAUUCAUCUAAUGGAGGUGGAGAAAGUUCUGACACAUCAGAAGAUGCACCAGAUGCAGCAGAGGAAACAGGCGGGUCUGAUGAUUCAUCUAAUGGAGGUGGAGAAAGUUCUGACACAUCAGAAGAUGCCCCAGUUGCAGCAGAUGCAGAUGAUGCCUGAAACAAAGACACCACCAUAUCAAGACACAUGAAGUUUUUUAAUA
rnacentral:lncRNA from 1 species